AAAAGAAUUUGGAACAUAAAGGCUUUAAUAGCAUGAGAUGCAUACUGUAAAAAAACCCCAGACAACACUUAGUUACAUUAUUGGAAUUGCAGAGAAGAUAGCAAUGACUCCAGGAAGAGCAUACCGUGUCAUUAGCAAUGGUGUCUCAAUAACAAGAUUCAAACUUUUCUUACUGUUCUUUGAAGCUCUAACUUUAAGAAAUGUAUUGCAAUAACAAAAAGGCAUGCUCAAAAAUUUAACAUGUUUGUCAUCAAUUCAUGAUUAAACUUUCCUUCGGAGAAAAAAAAAAGGAGAGAAAGUAUUCAAUCAGCCCAUUGAACCAAGUCAGCAUGCUGAUUUUAUGCAACGAGCCAACCAUAAAAAGCCAAGAUGCUUGAUUUCCCAUACCCUUUUGCUUACUUUAAAAUACCCUCCCAUUAGUUACCCUGAUUCCACUUCCACAUUAUACACUAUAAACAACUGUAACAUUCAAUUUCAAGAGGAAACCCAAAGAAACUAAUCACAG
rnacentral:misc_RNA from 1 species